AUCGUUUCUCGGCCUUUUGGCUAAGAUCAAGUGUAGUAUUAAAUGCCGAGCAACAGUCAGAUACUAGAUCAGACAUUUGUAUAUAAAUAACAUUAUGAAUGUGAAACUUACUUUUGACUGUUGAUUACAUUGGAUUAAGAUAUAAGUUCCUGUGUGUUUGUGAGAGUGUACAUGCUGAGUGAUGGCCUG